rnacentral:rRNA from 1 species
UUGAAGAGUUUGAUCAUGGCUCAGAUUGAACGCUGGCGGCAGGCCUAACACAUGCAAGUCGAACGGUAACAGGAAACAGCUUGCUGUUUCGCUGACGAGUGGCGGACGGGUGAGUAAUGUCUGGGAAACUGCCUGAUGGAGGGGGAUAACUACUGGAAACGGUAGCUAAUACCGCAUAACGUCGCAAGACCAAAGAGGGGGACCUUCGGGCCUCUUGCCAUCGGAUGUGCCCAGAUGGGAUUAGCUUGUUGGUGGGGUAACGGCUCACCAAGGCGACGAUCCCUAGCUGGUCUGAGAGGAUGACCAGCCACACUGGAACUGAGACACGGUCCAGACUCCUACGGGAGGCAGCAGUGGGGAAUAUUGCACAAUGGGCGCAAGCCUGAUGCAGCCAUGCCGCGUGUAUGAAGAAGGCCUUCGGGUUGUAAAGUACUUUCAGCGGGGAGGAAGGGAGUAAAGUUAAUACCUUUGCUCAUUGACGUUACCCGCAGAAGAAGCACCGGCUAACUCCGUGCCAGCAGCCGCGGUAAUACGGAGGGUGCAAGCGUUAAUCGGAAUUACUGGGCGUAAAGCGCACGCAGGCGGUUUGUUAAGUCAGAUGUGAAAUCCCCGGCUCAACCUGGGAACUGCAUCUGAUACUGGCAAGCUUGAGUCUCGUAGAGGGGGGUAGAAUUCCAGGUGUAGCGGUGAAAUGCGUAGAGAUCUGGAGGAAUACCGGUGGCGAAGGCGGCCCCCUGGACGAAGACUGACGCUCAGGUGCGAAAGCGUGGGGAGCAAACAGGAUUAGAUACCCUGGUAGUCCACGCCGUAAACGAUGUCGACUUGGAGGUUGUGCCCUUGAGGCGUGGCUUCCGGAGCUAACGCGUUAAGUCGACCGCCUGGGGAGUACGGCCGCAAGGUUAAAACUCAAAUGAAUUGACGGGGGCCCGCACAAGCGGUGGAGCAUGUGGUUUAAUUCGAUGCAACGCGAAGAACCUUACCUGGUCUUGACAUCCACGGAAGUUUUCAGAGAUGGAAUGUGCCUUCGGGAACCGUGAGACAGGUGCUGCAUGGCUGUCGUCAGCUCGUGUUGUGAAAUGUUGGGUUAAGUCCCGCAACGAGCGCAACCCUUAUCCUUUGUUGCCAGCGGUCCGGCCGGGAACUCAAAGGAGACUGCCAGUGAUAAACUGGAGGAAGGUGGGGAUGACGUCAAGUCAUCAUGGCCCUUACGACCAGGGCUACACACGUGCUACAAUGGCGCAUACAAAGAGAAGCGACCUCGCGAGAGCAAGCGGACCUCAUAAAGUGCGUCGUAGUCCGGAUUGGAGUCUGCAACUCGACUCCAUGAAGUCGGAAUCGCUAGUAAUCGUGGAUCAGAAUGCCACGGUGAAUACGUUCCCGGGCCUUGUACACACCGCCCGUCACACCAUGGGAGUGGGUUGCAAAAGAAGUAGGUAGCUUAACCUUCGGGAGGGCGCUUACCACUUUGUGAUUCAUGACUGGGGUGAAGUCGUAACAAGGUAACCGUAGGGGAACCUGCGGUUGGAUCACCUCCUU